rnacentral:rRNA from 1 species
UCACACAAACUCAAUUUAUUUUAAAAUGAAUGUAAUGA